UAUAUGCGAUUAAUUGUACAAAAUGUGAAAAAGUUAUAUAUGUAGGACAAACGGGUGAUUCACUAUAUCAACGAAUGCUAUUGAACUUUUCAAAAAUACGCACAAAAAAAACAGAAGAUCCAGUAGCCAACCAUUUCAUUCAGAACAAUCAUUCAAUGACAAAUUUGAAAGUUACCGCCAUAGAGAGAGUAUUUGGGACAGAAAUUUACAGAAAAACUAAAGAAGCCUUUUGGAUGAAAAAAUUAAAAACUUUAGAACCUGAAGGACUCAACACAAUGUAUGAACGAUAAUAAAUAUAUUUAUAUUAAAAAAGCAAAAAACGCGGCAAAUGAACGUCAUAGAAGUUAUUAGAACGUAAUGUAUCCAAGC
rnacentral:lncRNA from 1 species